GAUGAACGCUGGCGGCGUGCCUAAUACAUGCAAGUCGAGCGAACAGAUGAAGAGCUUGCUCCUUUGACGUUAGCGGCGGACGGGUGAGUAACACGUAGGUAACCUACCUAUAAGACUGGGAUAACUUCGGGAAGCCGGAGCUAAUACCGGAUAAUAUUUCGAACUGCAUGGUUCGAUAGUGAAAGAUGGCUUUGCUAUCACUUAUAGAUGGACCUGCGCCGUAUUAGCUAGUUGGUAAGGUAACGGCUUACCAAGGCAACGAUACGUAGCCGACCUGAGAGGGUGAUCGGCCACACGGGAACUGAGACACGGUCCAGACUCCUACGGGAGGCAGCAGUAGGGAAUCUUCCGCAAUGGGCGCAAGCCUGACGGAGCAACGCCGCGUGAGUGAUGAAGGUCUUCGGAUCGUAAAACUCUGUUAUUAGGGAAGAACAAACGUGUAAGUAACUGUGCACGUCUUGACGGUACCUAAUCAGAAAGCCACGGCUAACUACGUGCCAGCCGCCGCCGUAAAAC
rnacentral:rRNA from 1 species